rnacentral:rRNA from 1 species
AUCUUAGUGGCGGACGGGUGAGUAACGCGUGGGUAACCUGCCUUACACUGGGGGAUAACACUUAGAAAUAGGUGCUAAUACCGCAUAAUAGGAGAAGACGCAUGUCUUAUCCUUGAAAACUCCGGUGGUGUAAGAUGGACCCGCGUCUGAUUAGCCAGUUGGCGGGGUAACGGCCCACCAAAGCGACGAUCAGUAGCCGGCCUGAGAGGGUGAACGGCCACAUUGGGACUGAGACACGGCCCAAACUCCUACGGGAGGCAGCAGUGGGGAAUAUUGGACAAUGGGGGGAACCCUGAUCCAGCGACGCCGCGUGAGUGAAGAAGUAUCUCGGUAUGUAAAGCUCUAUCAGCAGGGAAGAAAGAAAUGACGGUACCUGACUAAGAAGCCCCGGCUAACUACGUGCCAGCAGCCGCGGUAAUACGUAGGUGGCGAGCGUUAUCCGGAAUGAUUGGGCGUAAAGGGUGCGCAGGCGGUCCUGCAAGUCUGGAGUGAAACGCAUGAGCUCAACUCAUGCAUGGCUUUGGAAACUGGAGGACUGGAGAGCAGGAGAGGGCGGUGGAACUCCAUGUGUAGCGGUAAAAUGCGUAGAUAUAUGGAAGAACACCAGUGGCGAAGGCGGCCGCCUGGCCUGUUGCUGACGCUGAGGCACGAAAGCGUGGGGAGCAAAUAGGAUUAGAUACCCUAGUAGUCCACGCCGUAAACGAUGAGGACCAAGUGUUGGGGGUGAAACCUCAGUGCUGAAGUUAACGCAGUGAGUCCUCCGCCUGGGGAGUAUGCACGCAAGUGUGAAACUCAAAGGAAUUGACGGGGGCCCGCACAAGCGGUGGAGUAUGUGGUUUAAUUCGAAGCAACGCGAAGAACCUUACCAGGCCUUGACAUGGGAUGCGAAGAUGCAGAGAUGCAUCGGAGGUCAACAUCCACACAGGUGGUGCAUGGUUGUCGUCAGCUCGUGUCGUGAGAUGUUGGGUCAAGUCCCGCAACGAGCGCAACCCUUGUGGCAUGUUGCUAACAGGAAAAGCUGAGGACUCAUGCCAGACUGCCGGUGACAAACCGGAGGAAGGCGGGGAUGACGUCAAAUCAUCAUGCCCCUUAUGGCCUGGGCUACACACGUACUACAAUGGCGGCUACAAAGAGCAGCGAGACAGGGAUGUCGAGCGAAUCUCAUAAAAGCCGUCCCAGUUCGGAUUGGAGGCUGCAACCCGCCUCCAUGAAGUUGGAAUCGCUAGUAAUCGCGGAUCAGCAUGCCGCGGUGAAUACGUUCCCGGGCCUUGCACUCACCGCCCGUCAA